CUCGUAGGCGGUUUGUUGCGUCGGCUGUGAAAUCCCGAGGCUCAACCUCGGGUCUGCAGUCGAUACGAGCAAACUAGAGUGUUGCAGGGGAGACUGGAAUUCCUGGUGUAGCGGUGAAAUGCGCAGAUAUCAGGAGGAACACCGGUGGCGAAGGCGGGUCUCUGGGCAACAACUGACGCUGAGGAGCGAAAGCGGUGGGGAGCGAACA
rnacentral:rRNA from 1 species